rnacentral:misc_RNA from 1 species
CUCUCUCUUUCUGUCUGUGUGAAGAUGAAUUCUCAUUCAUAUAUGUUAUUUCUCUUAAUCUCGCUGAUUUUAUCAGAUAAUAUCAUUUUAUUAACUUCUUCUUCUUUUGGAAAUGAGUUUUCUUCCUUCUUCGACGCUGUAACUUCCUUGAAUCCCAACUGUCUGAAUUUGCAAAAGAAUCAAUCAGCGUCGAGGCCUCGAAAGCCUUCUACUGGGUGCCAGGUAUGGAGUAAGGCCUGCUCGGAGGCGGUGCUGGGGCUGUCCCUGAGGCCGGAGACUGUGAGUUGGUUGAAGAGCGUGAGGAGGAAGAUUCACGAAAACCCUGAGCUCGCUUUUGAGGAGGUUAAGACGAGUGAGUUAGUUAGAAAUGAGUUGGAGAAGAUGGAGAUUGGAUAUAAGUAUCCUUUGGCUAAAACGGGUAUUCGGGCUUGGAUCGGUACCGGUAGGCCUCCGUUUGUGGCCCUCAGAGCUGACAUGGAUGCUCUCCCUAUUCAGGAAUCUGUAGAAUGGGAGCAUAAAAGUAAAGUUGCAGGCAAAAUGCAUGCUUGUGGGCAUGAUGCUCACGUUGCAAUGCUCAUUGGAGCUGCCAAGAUCUUGAAGAGUCGAGAACAUCU